rnacentral:rRNA from 1 species
GAUGAACGCUGGCGGCGUGCCUAAUACAUGCGAGUCGAGCGAACAGAUGAGGAGCUUGCUCCUCUGACGUUAGCGGCGGACGGGUGAGUAACACGUGGAUAACCUACCUAUAAGACUGGGAUAACUUCGGGAAACCGGAGCUAAUACCGGAUAAUAUAUUGAACCGCAUGGUUCAAUAGUGAAAGACGGUUUUGCUGUCACUUAUAGAUGGAUCCGCGCCGCAUUAGCUAGUUGGUAAGGUAACGGCUUACCAAGGCAACGAUGCGUAGCCGACCUGAGAGGGUGAUCGGCCACACUGGAACUGAGACACGGUCCAGACUCCUACGGGAGGCAGCAGUAGGGAAUCUUCCGCAAUGGGCGAAAGCCUGACGGAGCAACGCCGCGUGAGUGAUGAAGGUCUUCGGAUCGUAAAACUCUGUUAUUAGGGAAGGACAAAUGUGUAAGUAACUAUGCACGUCUUGACGGUACCUAAUCAGAAAGCCACGGCUAACUACGUG